UGGGAGUGUUUAUAGUGCUGUGACAUUCACACUUCAUGACUGAGAGCUGCUGCUACAGAAACUUCACCCACAGCUACCAUGACUUUGAUCCCUGUCUUCAUCUGGACACUGAUCCUCUGGACUCAAGAAUGCAGAGGUCAAGCAACAGUAACUCAGACUCCUCCAGAGAAAUCUGCUCUUCCAGGAGAAACAGUCACCAUCAACUGUAAAACCAGUCAGGCAGUGACCAAGAAUUCAUAUGGUGAAUUGUUGCACUGGUAUCAGCAGAAAGCUGGAGAAGCUCCUAAACUCCUGAUUAAACUUGUAAACCAGCUACAAUCGGGGUUUCCAGCUCGUUUCAGUGGCAGUGGAUCUGGAUCUGAUUUCACUCUGACCAUCAGUGGAGUCCAGGCUGAAGAUGCAGGAGAUUAUUACUGUCAGAGUCACCACAGCAUCUCAGGCUACUGGUUCACACAGUGAUAUAGAGUCAUACAAAAACCUCCCUCAGUCAGAUAGUAGAGAAACUGCACUGCUGCAGCUGGGAGCGACUGCAGGUGCUGAGUUGGAGGAUGUGAUACACACAAACACACAAAUUCCUAUUUAACAGACACAAACAUCAGGGCUUUUACUUGUAAUUUUUGUGUC